UCCACCAGCCUACCAGUUACCCUCUCAGGGAGCUGACAGCCCACUGGCAUAAUGAACAUCACUUCCUCCAAGCUGGUGUCACUGGGGACUGUCCCAUGAAUGAUUAAAUACUGUCACAUCAUUCAUCCUCAGCUUGAAACUUGUCCAUUGAGUGAUGCCGUCUUCAAAUCAACCUCUUCAAUUCCGUCCUCCCCAUGUCCUCACUAAGCCUGCCCAGCACAAAGCUGCCAACUUGUCACCGGCUUUCUGUUUCAUGAGUCCUGUUCUCUGAGUGCCACAAACCCAAGGAACUCAGUCUAUGUUCAAAGGUCUACUUGAUAGGUGGCUAGAUUAACUUAUGAAGCUAAAUGAAGCAGGAUUGGAUGCUAACUAAAUUUCACCGAGACUGCACAUCAGAAACCUAAGGAUUCUUUUUCAUGCCUGGAUCAGCCAAAAUGACUAUUUUACAAACUCACUUGAAAAUCUCUGAAAGUAGGCACAGCUGAUUGCAGAUAAGGGAACGAGGCUCUGAUGUGAUACUGCCAUUGGAGGCAAGCCCAAACGAGCUUUUGCAUAAGUUGUAACAUUAGGAAGAAUCAUGUAGUCUACACUGCCUUUCAGCAAACCUAAUACAGCAACUGUGCUACCCAACAGUUUUGAAACCACAGUGAAAACUAAGUACGCAUGGAAUCUGGACCAGGAGCCCAAGGCAGAGGCAAGAGGAAAAUGAGAGGAGCAGAUAUCUAAGUUACAGAACUUGUUAACUUGCAAGCAUGGGGGAGAAAGCCUACCUCAGAUAGUCAGUUCACCCUGACUCAUAAUUCCUCCCUCUUUCUUACCCCAUUGGACACUCAAGUCCACUCAGCAGUACCCACCACCCAGCUACAUUCCAGACCUCACCUCCACCUCUUGCCACACUUCCUCCAGAAUAGGUGCCCCUUUAAUCCUCUUUGCCUUAGCCAUCUGGAGUCUCUUUGCCUUUACAAGACAUCAAAUCACUCCACCUUCAUCCAAUCCCUCAACACCCCAUUUGGAACUGCCAUCACUAAAUGAAGGGGGAAAGUUCAUUCCGUACUCGAGUUUUCCACAAGGAGGGACCUUCCAUGAAGAAACAUUCCUAUCGUCAGUCUAUGUCCCACUCAACCUCCUGACUAGGAGCAAUGACUUAACCUUGUGACUUUGAGGAAAGAAACAAGGCAGGUACGGUUCAGCCCCUUUCCAAGCUCCACUCAGAAUC